UUAUCUAAUUUUAUCCUCCAUUUGUUAAUGUCUGCUUUUAUGCUUGGAUCUAGAAGAAAACAAACAAAUCAGCCUGCAGUUAAAGACUAAAUGUUGGAGAAAGGCUCAAACGUCAUUCAGCUCACCUGGCAUCAAAAACUAAGAAAGACACACACGCAUUUGAUGACCUGAAGCCCAUGGAGACUGGGCCGCUUGCCCAGGUACACUGCUCCCUUUGCCCCAACAAUCAGCUCUCCUCUGGACAUGGGCCGAGAGUGGCUCUCCUGUGCCAGGGUGAAGCUGCAAGAGACACGAGAGGCAGCGACACAGUGUCUGAUGCUGAGAGGGCUUGGAGGAGCACAUGGGACUUUUGCAAUUCGUGUGUGUUUUAAAUCUCCUUAUCCACGAAGGGGGUAGAGUAAACUCAAGGGAGAAAGAAGCUCGGGUCUUCAAAAACAUUGUCCUGAAACAUUAACCAAAAAAUAAAAAGGAAAAAAAAAAA